AGCAGCCGUGGUAAUUCCAGCUCCAAUAGCAUAUAUUAAAGUUGUUGCAGUUAAAAAGCUCGUAGUUAAAUUUCGGGAUCAGCAGGUUGGUCGUGCCACUGGUAUGCAUUGGCCUUGGUAAUUCCUCCUUCUUGAAGAACCGUGAUGCCAUUCAGUUGGUGUUGCGGGGACACAGGACUGUUACUUUAAAAAAUUAGAAUGUUUAAAGCAGGCGCACGCCUGAAUACAUUAGCAUGGAAUAAUGAAAUAGGACAAUUGAUCCUAUUUUGUUGGUUUCUAGGGUUGAUGUAAUGAUUAAUAGGGAUAGUUGGGGGCAUUAGUAUUCAAUUAUCAGAGGUGAAAAUUUUGGAUUUAUUGAAGACUAACUACUGCGAAAGCAUUU
rnacentral:rRNA from 1 species